GACGAACGCUGGCGGCGUGCUUAACACAUGCAAGUCGAGCGGUAAGGCCUUUCGGGGUACACGAGCGGCGAACGGGUGAGUAACACGUGGGUGAUCUGCCCUGCACUUCGGGAUAAGAAUGGGAAACUGGGACUAAUACCGGAAAUGACCUCCUAUCGCAUGGUGGGAGGGGGAAAGAUUUAUCGGUGCAGGAUGGGCCCGCGGCCUAUCAGCUUGUUGGUGGGGUAAUGGCCUACCAAGGCUACGACGGGUAGCCGACCUGAGAGGGUGACCGGCCACACUGGGACUGAGACACGGACCAGACUCCUACGGGAGGCAGCAGUGGGGAAUAUUGCACAAUGGGCGAAAGCCUGAUGCAGCGACGCCGCGUGAGGGAUGACUGCCUUCGGGUUGUAAACCUCUUUCGGCAGGGACGAAGCGCAAGUGACGGUACCUGCAGAAGAAGCACCGGCUAACUACGUG
rnacentral:rRNA from 1 species